GUGGAAUUGAUCAAAAUAAUGUAUGGGGCGGCAAUAAAGUAGGAGGCAAUGGCAAUAGCAACGUCUAUGCAGCUGCUCCAGGAAAUGGAGGUGGCAUUGAUCAAAAUAAUGAAUGGGGUGGCAAUAAAGUUGGAGGCAGUGGCAGUGG